UUCCAAGAUGGCUGCCAGGUGCGGUGGCUAAGCCUGGGGACAAAUGAAGCCGGUGCCGAACAUCAGGGACGUGUUGCGACGAGAGAGUGUGUCGAUGAUAAGAUAUUAAGCCGAGUUGUCCUGCAGGCGGUGAGAAGAAAAUGGACAUUGAUCUCAUGCGUGACUAAAUGGAUUAAAUUGGGCUUGGAAGCAAAGUAAACAACACAGAGGAGAUCCCCCUGGGACUGAAAUAAAUGACUAUAGCAAUAAUAAUACUCACAUCCUUUGCCAUGAAGCCAUGGGAGACGAGUCAAGAUAGAGGGAAAGAUGAAUGCAGCAAUGUACAGAGACAUCCUGGAUGAAAACCUUCUGCAGAGCGCUCUUGAACUCAGACCGGGGCGGUGGUGCAACGACCCGAAGCACACAGCUGAGAUAUCAAAGGAAUGUCUUCAGGACAACUCCGUAAAUGUCCCUGAGUGGCCCAGCCAGAGCCCAAGUAGUCUAAAACACAGGUGUCAAAUUUAAGGCCCGGGGGCCAAAUCUGGCACGCCACAUUAUUUCAAAGCCUGGAAAUAAUAUGCGUUAAUAAAAUGCUUAAUCUUUUCU